GACGAACGCUGGCGGCGUGCCUAAUACAUGCAAGUAGAACGCACAGUUUAUACCGUAGCUUGCUACACCAUAGACUGUGAGUUGCGAACGGGUGAGUAACGCGUAGGUAACCUGCCUGGUAGCGGGGGAUAACUAUUGGAAACGUUAGCUAAUACCGCAUAAUAUUGAUUAUUGCAUGAUAAUUGAUUGAAAGAUGCUAUUGCAUCACUACCAGAUGGACCUGCGUUGUAUUAGCUAGUAGGUGAGGUAACGGCUCACCUAGGCGACGAUACAUAGCCGACCUGAGAGGGUGAUCGGCCACACUGGGACUGAGACACGGCCCAGACUCCUACGGGAGGCAGCAGUAGGGAAUCUUCGGCAAUGGACGAAAGUCUGACCGAGCAACGCCGCGUGAGUGAAGAAGGUUUUCGGAUCGUAAAGCUCUGUUGUAAGAGAAGAACGGGUGUGAGAGUGGAAAGUUCACACUGUGACGUUAUCUUACCAGAAAGGGACGGCUAACUACGUG
rnacentral:rRNA from 1 species